GGGGGACAUGGGAUACGGCACAAAGGGCCGCCGGCACCAACGGGCGAAGAGGUACCACCUACCAGAGCACAGAGGCUGAGUCCAAAGGACCAAGACCUGAGCAGAAAGAAAAGUCCCCUGAAUAGCACACGCUAUGGGCAGCUGUGUACUCCACAUCAACUGAAAUGCUCUACAAAUGUGCUCCUGCAGAUCUGCUACAUUUGUAGAUAUAGGAAAAGGCUUGGCCACAGCGAUGGAUCCUCUAAGAAUCAAGAGUGUAUCACAAUGACUACUACAAAUGCUGAUUUUAUAACUGCAAGAAAAAAUUGAGAGUCUCCA